rnacentral:rRNA from 1 species
GAUGAACGCUAGCUACAGGCUUAACACAUGCAAGUCGAGGGGCAGCGCAGUGUAGCAAUACACGGGCGGCGACCGGCGCACGGGUGCGUAACGCGUAUCCAACCUUCCCGUUACUCAGGGAUAGCCUUCCGAAAGGGAGAUUAAUACCUGAUGGUGUUCAAAUUCCGCAUGUUAUUUGAACUAAAGAUUUAUCGGUAACGGAUGGGGAUGCGUGACAUUAGGUAGAUGGCGGGGUAACGGCCCACCAUGCCCACGAUGUCUAGGGGUUCUGAGAGGAAGGUCCCCCACACUGGAACUGAGACACGGUCCAGACUCCUACGGGAGGCAGCAGUGAGGAAUAUUGGUCAAUGGUCGGAAGACUGAACCAGCCAAGUAGCGUGAAGGAUGACUGCCCUACGGGUUGUAAACUUCUUUGUUGGGAAUAAAAGACGCUACGUGUAGCGUUCUGCAUGUACCUUACGAAUAAGCAUCGGCUAAUUCCGUG